rnacentral:ncRNA from 1 species
UCAAAGGCAAUAGAAAGGUUAGAAAAUAAACUGCGAAACAGUCUUUGUCCCAGUAAAAUGUUGAAUUAUGCUUACAAUAGGACGAAGUAAGAGGAAACUCUAGUGGAUUCCCGUGCAGGUUCUAGCGUGCAAAUCGACAGAGAGAGGGUAAAGAGGCGAAGGAUUAAUCGAAACAGCUAGCAGCUGGUCUUGGUCUUGUCUCGACUUAGUUGAAUUGUUGACACGGACGCAACCUUUAAGUGGGUCGUAAGGUGCCUACCUUCGGCUCAUGAGACUCCAUAAAAGACGGUGACUGAUAUAGACAGCAGUACGGUGACUGUGGAAGUUGGCAUCCGCUAAGGAGUGUGUAGCAACUCACCUGCAGAAUCAAAUAGCCGUUAAAAUGGAUUAUUCGGGUCUGUACUCAAAACUCAUCAGGACGGAACACUCAGAGGACAAGUCAACAUUCCUUUCAUUAUUUAUUAUCAUUUAUUAGUAUAAAU